rnacentral:rRNA from 1 species
UGGGGAAUCUUGGACAAUGGGCGCAAGCCUGAUCCAGCCAUGCCGCGUGAGUGAAGAAGGCCUUCGGGUUGUAAAGCUCUUUUACCAGGGACGAUAAUGACGGUACCUGGAGAAUAAGCCCCGGCAAACUUCGUGCCAGCAGCCGCGGUAAUACGAAGGGGGCUAGCGUUGUUCGGAAUUACUGGGCGUAAAGCGCACGUAGGCGGAUUGUUAAGUCAGAGGUGAAAUCCCGGAGCUCAACUUCGGAACUGCCUUCGAUACUGGCAAUCUAGAGUCCGGAAGAGGUUAGUGGAAUUCCCAGUGUAGAGGUGAAAUUCGUAGAUAUUGGGAAGAACACCAGUGGCGAAGGCGGCUAACUGGUCCGGUACUGACGCUGAGGUGCGAAAGCGUGGGGAGCAAACAGGAUUAGAUACCCCCGUAGUCCCUGAGCGGGCUGGCAAGGCGCAU